rnacentral:tRNA from 2 species
CCUUCGAUAGCUCAGUUAGUAGAGCGGAGGACUGUAGAUCCUUAGGUCGCUGGUUCAACUCCGGCUCGAAGGA